ACUCUUCUAGUAGUUGGCUUACUAGGAAUGUCCUGGUGGAUUUAGUGGCUUCCCCAAGGUAACGUGGGUCCUGAUAGUAGUAAGUAAAAAAACAUGGAUGAUGCCUUUUCAGUCCACCUGCUACUGUGACACUGUAGCAAUCCCCUCUGCCCCUAUGAUGAUGGAUCUAUUUAGGGUCCCUGAAGUGGCAAUGUUGUCCCAGUUUUCAGCAUCAGUUUUACAAAAAUCAGAGCUUCAUCCAGGUUUUUACAAACCGCUGUAGACUCUGGCUUCCUGAAGCAGUUGCCAGCCAGCUGAGUUGGUAAAGCUGACAGCAAGUUGGCUCAGCUCAUGAAUAUCAAGGAUCUGCCAAUCCCAUGUCACUACCCUUUCUUCCCCCUCCCACCCCCAAGCCUUCUUAUGAACUCUCCUCCUUUUCUUGCACAAGACCUAAAUGCAGCCUUCCCCUCUACAUACAAUCAGGUCCACGUAGAGUCAAGUCUGACUCUGAGUAGUGCAGAGAUAGGCAGGCAGCUCUGUUCUACCAGCACCGUGUGCAGGUGGCUACUGUCCCAGACUGGUCAGCAUCCAUGCUUCCUUAUAUUCCCUGUGCCAGAGAUCAGCACUGCAUUGGGGCAGUGCUCAGAUGGUAAAAUGGGAGCCUGAUUCUGGGCUAGGAGGAAGGGGAGAGACAGGCCUGCGAGUGAACACGAGAGAGAGGAUGGCUCUACUCCCUUAUCAAGGGAGGCAAGGCCAUAUGAACUCUUGCCUGGAAGGAUGCAUGGGCCUGCUUGGCUCAUGGGGAUCUUUUGGUCUACGUCUUGGGGAUUCUGCGGAGUUAGGGCACUUCAGAAAGAUAGCACAGCAUUGAAGAAAAAGAAGACGCUUCCCCCAAAAUAUCUGAAGCAGAACUGGAAAAACAUGACUCUGUUUCAGUUCUCACGCAAGAGCCCCACACACAUGUGCGCAGAUACUUCGUUUGGAGACAUGCUGGGAGGUGCAAUUCUGCUGAGCAAAGGCAGUUAGGUGCCUCAACUCUACGCAUAGGAAUCAUUGCCUCUUUCUCCUCAUCCUGGUGUGAAAUUGCAUGUACUGGGGGAAAGCUAAGCUGAAGAAGUGUUCCCUGACUUGGCACGUCUGCAUUCUGAUAUCGCCUGCCAGCUUUGAAAAUGGCGACAUGCUGCUUUCUGUAUUGCUGCUGUGAAAACUGGUGAUCAUCCUCAAGCAGACUGAUAUCUCUCCAGUGUAUAAACAGCUACAAGGCUCCAGCUCAUAUGCUGUUGUAGAGCUAGCACCAAUUAAAGAAAGAGAAGACGGUAGCUGAGUCCCUACCUCAUUUUUAACCGAGCUAAGGCAUUUACAUGCUGCAUUUAGCCAAAGUGAAUAAAGGUGAGUAGGAAGUCAUUUGUACUUGUGAACCCACCAUGUAAAAUUAUAAGGAACAACAAACAUAAAAUGAAGUCAAAGGAACUGCCUGAACUGAGUUUGUUUAAGAUGGAUAGUGAUUGUUCAUCGCUCACCUCUCUGCUUGCCAUAUCCUGCUUGCACGUGAAUAAAGCAAACAUCAAUGAGACCAAUGUUUUCCAUAUUCUUCGCCCCUUAUGUGGUUGUCCUGUUUGUCUAA